rnacentral:rRNA from 1 species
UGGCGGACGGGUGAGUAACGCGUGGGGAACCUGCCCUGUACAGGGGGAUAACACUUAGAAAUAGGUGCUAAUACCGCAUAAGCGCACAGUAUCGCAUGAUACAGUGUGAAAAACUCCGGUGGUACAGGAUGGACCCGCGUCUGAUUAGCUGGUUGGCGGGGUAACGGCCCACCAAGGCGACGAUCAGUAGCCGGCCUGAGAGGGUGAACCGGCCACAUUGGGACUGAGACACGGCCCAGACUCCUACGGAAGGCAGCAG